rnacentral:rRNA from 1 species
GACGAACGCUGGCGGCGUGCUUAACACAUGCAAGUCGAACGGAAAGGCCCUUCAGGGUACUCGAGUGGGGAAAGGGAGAGGAACACGCGGGUGAUCUGCCCUGCACUUUGGGAUAAGCAUGGGAAACUGUGUCUAAUACCGAAUAGGACCACGCGGUUCAUGGCGGGUGGAGGAAAGCUUUUGCGGUGUGGGAUGGGCCCGGGGCCUAUCAGCUUGAUGGUGGGGUAAUGGCCUACCAAGGCGACGACGGGUAGCCGGCCUGAGAGGGUGGCCGGCCAAACUGGGCCUGCGCUACGGCCCAGCCUCCUACGGGAGGCAGCAGUGGAGAAGAUUGCACAGUGGGCGCAAGCCUGAUGCGGCGCCGCCGCGUCGGGGAUGACGUCCUUCGGGUUGUAAACCUCUUUCAAUUGGUACGAAGCGCUAGUGACGGUACCUAUAGAAUAAGCACCGGCUAACUACGUG